GACAGAGGGUGCAAACGUUGUUCGGAAUUACUGGGCGUAAAGCGAGUGUAGGCGGUCUGUAAAGUCGGGUGUGAAAGCCCCGGGCUCAACCCGGGAAGUGCACUCGAUACUGCGGAGCUAGAGUGUCGGAGAGGUUGGUGGAAUUCUCGGUGUAGAGGUGAAAUUCGUAGAUAUCGAGAGGAACACCGGUGGCGAAGGCGGCCAACUGGACGAACACUGACGCUGAGACACGAAAGCGUGGGGAGCAAACAGG
rnacentral:rRNA from 1 species